rnacentral:ncRNA from 1 species
CCAUUUCACUUCUGAUCUCCUGAAAAAGGACUUGGGAAAUCCUUAUCAACAAACGUUGGGAGUAAACUAUCAAAUUCCGGGGAAGCCCUAAAGCUUCUGGUACUAAACCAUAUAUGAAAAUAUAUGAGUGGCUGAACUAAUUACUCAGGUAUAGUAACAAGCCAGAAGAUAAGUGAAAGCUUAAUGGGUAAUCGCGGAUCUAAGUCAGCAAUAAGUGGGCGCAAGCUCUGUAUUGCUGUAAAAGAGCAACGAGUAAAUGGUAGUUGAUGUGAUAAAGAAAAAUCACAUUUAAGAUGUACUCUACUGGGCUUCGAAAGAAGUUA